UAUAUUGCCAUGGCAUCUAAUACCAUCGAAGCUAUUAAGAUCGACACAAAAUGAAGCCAGAAUGUCUGUGCGUGGUGACUUAAAGAGGGGAUCAGAAUAUCACUCUUGUUACCCAUCUUGCUGCCACAAUUUUUGUCAUUAGUACCUCUUCUUUAAAGACAAUCUGGUUUCAAAAGAAAGGCUUCGUGAAAGUAUUAUGCUUAGAUGGGUUGGCAAUUCUCAUCGACUGUGGCUAAGUUAGGCCAUUGUAUUUAUUUGUUAACCUAAGACAUUAAGAGUUACGCGUUGGUCUUAAGGGUUCUCUUUGCUUCCACUCUCGGUCCAUUUCCUGGUGUGUUUUCCACACGACAGCAAGAAGCGUUGUUUAAAAUUAAGUCCUAUCACUUAGUUGAGAUGUUCAUCUCCUCCCCACUCCUACCCGCAAAGCCUUCUUAUCAAAAUCAGCGUAAAAAUCCAAAGACCUUCUUAUAGUUGAGAAGGUCUCUGAUCUAGCCCUUGGCUACCUCUCCUGCCAUUUUCCCUAUUAGUCACUGUCCUCUCCAACUGUAACCUCUGCUAUACCACAAAAAUGUCAAGCAUACUCCCACUUCAGAAUUUGUGCAUUUUCUCUGAAAGGUUCUUCUUCCAUCUGCUUGCAUGUGUCUCUCUUCCUUUAACUCAUUUCAUUUAUUAUUCAACUGUGAUCUGCCCAGAAAGGUCUUCAAUGUGCUUUCUAUAUGUACAAUAGAACCUCACGCUCUAUGCCGCCGUAUACCUUUAUCUUUCUUUAUAUCACGUGGUGACAGCUGACAUUAUAUCAUUGUUUAUCAUCUACUUUCCUUUCUAGACUAAGUAAGCUGCUUGGGGGCAAUAACUUUUUCUGGCUUACCCCCUCUGUGGCUCUAACACCUGACAUGACAACUGGAACCUAGUAUGUGCUUAGUACACAGAGUUGUUGAGUGCAUGAAUAAAUAAAUAUGAACUAAUGAAAGAAUAUGUAUAAAAGCCAUAAAAGUUCCACGGGCGCCUGAGUGGCUCAGUCGAUUGAGCGUCCGACGCCAGCUCAGGUCACGAUCCCACGGUUUGUGAGUUCCAGCCCCAUAUCGGGCUCGCUUGAGCUCUCUUUCUCUCAAAAGUAGAAUACACAUUAAAGAAAUGCAAAAGUUCCAGAAUACAGAGUGCCACUCAGGGAGGUGUGGGGGGUUGUAGACCACCACUGGGUAGCAAGGACACCCUUGAAUAUUACAGAUGAGGGAUGGAGGAGGCAAGUUGGGUAUUUAAGGGAAACAUCUGCUGCAUUCACUAAUUUCUUUGUGUUAAAACAACUUAGAUCCUCUGUUUAUUCUCCUAAAGUUGGGAGACCUGGGUUAAUGUCCACACCUUGGCACUGACUAUACACAUUGUAUCAUGAAGAAUGUAUGGGGUCGAGGCAGUAUAGGGAAAGCAAGAGGGACUUAAUUCCUGUGAAACUCCUGGUCUGGGCCAAGGGUUGAAAGUUUCCAUACUCUUAGAGACAAAUACCUACUUCUGGGAAAGCAAACAAAUGAGAGAUAACAGCUGUUAGGGAGUAAUGGUAGUCUGGGCAAAAUUAGAAAUAACAAUUUAAAACCUGCUUGCACAAGGAUUUCUAUUUUUCGGGAGCCCUGAAAGGAGGUGGACCAUGGAGAAAGUCAGCCUGUGAUUGUCUCAUGUCCGUUGAAAAGUAAAGACCACAAGAUAAUGACGGAUUGUGGGUGAUCCUCUCCCAGGCUUGGAUGCUCAGUCAGGCUAUGGUGUGUGCCAGAAAUCAGUGAUAUUUCAGAACGUUGGAAGGUGACCCCAACCGGAACUCGUGUAUUUUUUGUCACUUCAAAGCACCUAUGGACAGUCCUUUGCUUUUCCAUACAAGACUAAGCUUAGGAAUGUUUUGUUUCAUUCGAGGUCAGGCUGCCUGCAGAUAUAGACCCUUUCCUCUGCUGCCUUAUUGCCAGGUACAUUAAAUACAGUAUAUGACAAGAGUUUAUUAAUACUGUACUGGGGUCAACAUCCGUAUAAGUUCAUACAAUGGCCCCCAUACAGAAAAAGGUUGAAAAGAAAGGCAGUAAGAAAAAGGAUAUGAUUAUGGUGGAGGUUAAAAAGGAUAUCAGCAAGAAGUAUGAAUGAGGUACGCAAGUGGCCGAAAUGGCAAGAUUUCAUAAGGAGUCUACGUCUGCAUCUUGUCUGCACAUGAGGAGGAGAAAAAGGCAGAAGACACCCUCACUUCAACUGACAUUAGGGAGAUGUGUCAAAUGUGGGAAACAGUGCAAAAUUUUGUAGACAAGCACCGCCUGAAUAAAGAUGUAGCAGUGCAAGUGAUGAAUCAGUUUAACGACAAUGCAGCGUCACAGUUCCGCAAAAUCCUCAAAAGGAGGCAAAAGCAAGUGUCGUUGAAUAGGUUCUUGUUAAAGUUGCAUGACAAGAAAAAAAUUCCCUUGAGCCAAUAGAUAGCAGUGAUUCUAUGAGUGAUAAUGAAAAUUGUCCCACACGGUAACCCUCCUCCCUUGUCACGAAGGCUCACACCAGCCACCAAGGUUUUCAAAGGUAA